CUCAAUAAAAAAAUUUUAAAAAGACAAUUUGUAGAACUUACAACUUUGGAACUUUCUAACAUUUAUAACUACCUAGAAGUAUUCUUGAUGUUUGUGAUUAGAAGAUUAAGUUGGGCUUCCAACUUUUGUGAACUCAUAUUUUAAAACACUCUAGGGAAGAGUUACGUAACACACAGAUCAUGUUGCUUACUUGUUACCAAUGGGUUAAUAUUAGAAACAGUAUUGACUAGUUUUAGACUGGUUGCUAAGCAACAUUGCUUCCUUGCCCUAUGGUCUGAGAGAGAGGAUUAAAAAAGGGCAGAAAAUGAGAAAUGUUGGAAAAAUAGGAAAGUGAAAUUCAAUGGAUCAUAAGGUACAAUUUGUAGGAAGAGUAAAAGAAGAAAUAAUUCUUGCAGGAUGUACUAAGACAUCAGUUGCUUUAUGACAUCACAAGAGUAACAUGUUAAGCCUCCAGCUCCAAAGAUAGAGAAGAGAGCAUAAGAUGAAUGUCCUCUGAUCCCAGCAUCAUGCUCCUCAUGGUCAAUUUAUGCUGAGCCAGAAACACAGAGUCCAUGGAUGGACAGCAAGUCACAGCCCAAACAAAAAAAAAAUCUGUCAAGUCCAGAAGGCCCAACCAAACCUUAUCCACUGUAAUUCAUUGUCCCAUUCCUUAAGGGGCCUUUUGUUCCCUUCACAUCUGAAAAGCCUCUGGGGAAAGAAACAUUCAAGAACAUGACCAAAAAGAAUAUCCAGAAAAUCCUUGCUUCCUGCCCCUCAGGAAUUCCACCCGGCUCCCUAGCUGCCCUGGACAGAGCAGGGCCUGUGGCCCCCACCUACAGCCACCAUGGAGUUAAUUCAUAUUUCCAAGGCCUGGCACAUGUUCAGUCAAAAACCUGGCUGAGUGCCUGUUGUUUACUGAAGCUGGGGAAGAAGCAUCUGCAACAUUACGAAAAGCAUAUUGUAAAAGGCAACACAUGCAAAUUAAACCUCUUGAGCUAUGAGUAAAUUGCUGAGAAAAUUUAUAACUCAUUUAAUAAAACUUGAAGUAAAUACAUA